GACGAACGCUGGCGGCGUGCUUAACACAUGCAAGUCGAACGGAAAGGCUCUGCUUUUGUGGGAUUCUCGAGUGGCGAACGGGUGAGUAUCACGUGAGUAGCCUGCCCUUUACUUUGGGAUAACUUCAUUAAACUGGAGCUAAUACCCGAUAUGAUCUCCUUCUGCAUGGUUGGUAUGGUAAAGUUUCGCCGGUUCGGCAUGCACGCGCGGUUUAUCAUCUUGUUGGUGGGGUAGUGGCUUACCAAGGCGUUGACGGGUAGCUGGCUUGAGAGGGUGACCGGCCACAUAGGGAUAGAGAAAGGACCAAGACUGAUACGGGAGCAAGCAGUGGGGGAUAUUGCAAAAAGGGCGGAAGGCUGAAGCAGGAACGCCGCGUGGUAGAUGACUGCCUGCGGGUUGGAAAGCGCGUGAGCCUGUGAAGAAGAGUAAGUGACGGUAAUGGGUAAAGAAGCAACGGCUAACUACGUG
rnacentral:rRNA from 1 species